CUGGUGCUGCACAACGCAUUGCUGGGUGGCCGGGUUGCCGACCCGACUCAGCGCGACGCGACUGCGGUGGCCGUUCGAUCGGCCGCGCGUGCC
rnacentral:tRNA from 2 species